rnacentral:rRNA from 1 species
UACGUAGGCAGCAAGCGUUGUUCGGAAUUACUGGGCGUAAAGAGUGUGUAGGCGGUGCUCCAAGUCUGGUGUGAAAUCUCCCGGCUCAACUGGGAGGGUGCGCUAGAAACUGGAAUGCUAGAGGAUGGGAGAGGUAAGCGGAAUUCCUGGUGUAGCGGUGAAAUGCGUAGAUAUCGGGAGGAACACCUGUGGCGAAAGCGGCGCACUGGACCAUAACUGACGCUGAGGCGCGAAAGCUAGGGGAGCAAACAGG